AUUGAACGCUGGCGGCAGGCCUAACACAUGCAAGUCGAGCGAGCGGCGGCCGGGUGAGUAAUGUAUGGGGACUGCACGAUAGAGGGGGAUAACUACUGGAAACGGUGGCUAAUACCGCAUACUCUCGGAUAACCCAUAUGGGAUUAGCUAGUCGGUGGGGUAAAGGCUCACCUGGGCGACGAUCUCUAGCUGGUCUGAGAGGAUGAUCAGCCACACUGUGACUGAGACACGGCCCUGACUCCGACGGAGGCAGCAGUGGGGAAGAUUGCACAAUAGGCGCGAGCCUGAUGCAGCCAUGCAGCGGGUAUGAAGAAGACCGGAGGGUUGGAAAGUACUUUCAGCGGGGAGGCGUUGCCCGCAGAAGAAGCACCGGCUAACUCCGUGCCAGCAGCCGCGGUAAUUC
rnacentral:rRNA from 1 species